rnacentral:rRNA from 1 species
AGAGUUUGAUCAUGGCUCAGAACGAACGCUGGCGGCGUGCCUAACACAUGCAAGUCGAGCGCGAAUGGGAGCAAUCCCUAGUAGAGCGGCGGACGGGUGCGUAACACGUGGGUAAUCUGCCUCAGAACCUGGGACAACCUGCCGAAAGGCUGGCUAAUACCGGAUAAGACCACGGGCUCUUCGGAGCCUGGGGUAAAAGGUGGCCUCUGUAUACAAGCUAUCAUUCUGAGAUGAGCCCGCGGCCCAUCAGCUAGUUGGCGAGGUAACGGCUCACCAAGGCAACGACGGGUAGCUGGUCUGAGAGGACGAUCAGCCACACUGGAACUGAGACACGGUCCAGACUCCUACGGGAGGCAGCAGUGGGGAAUUUUGCACAAUGGGCGAAAGCCUGAUGCAGCAACGCCGUGUGUGUGAUGAAGGUCUUUGGAUUGUAAAGCACUUUCGACCGGGACGAAACACCCUGAGCUAAUACCUCGGGGCCUGACGGUACCGGGAGAAGAAGCACCGGCUAACUCUGUGCCAGCAGCCGCGGUA